GUCUGCUCUCUCAACCCCCAAAUUUUGUAAAGCGAUGGCGAAGAACAGGAACAAGAAGAAACGAAAGGACUCGGAUUCAAUGGACGUGUCGGAAUUGCCCGUUCCAGAUGUGCCUCAAGCAAUGGAUACAUCGGAGUCUGGAGCGCAAAACCCAAGUGGUGCUGCUUCCAAUUUAAAGAUUAAGGGAAGACAAAUGAAGAGAACCAAAAAUGCUCGGAAGAAGAAAGCUGUAGUAAGAGCUAUAUCAAAAAGAGAGAAGUCUGUUGAGAAAGUAUUGAAGAAUGAAAGCAAAACCUUGAGAACUCAAUCUGCAAAAUUGCUGUACGACUAAAUAUUUUGAUUGAGCAUAUUGUGUUCUACUAAGUCACUUAGUUAUCCCUGUAUCGGUUCCUCUUUUGGUAUAAUAUAUGACAUGGUUUCAGGCAUUGUCUGCACUAGUUAUUACCCAAGCGCUGUGGCAUUGGUUAUGCUUCUUU